rnacentral:rRNA from 1 species
GAUGAACGCUGGCGGCGUGCCUAAUACAUGCAAGUCGAGCGAACAGACGAGGAGCUUGCUCCUCUGACGUUAGCGGCGGACGGGUGAGUAACACGUGGAUAACCUACCUAUAAGACUGGGAUAACUUCGGGAAACCGGAGCUAAUACCGGAUAAUAUAUUGAACCGCAUGGUUCAAUAGUGAAAGACGGUUUUGCUGUCACUUAUAGAUGGAUCUGCGCCGCAUUAGCUAGUUGGUAAGGUAACGGCUUACCAAGGCGACGAUGCGUAGACGACCUGAGAGGGUGAUCGGCCACACUGGAACUGAGACACGGUCCAGACUCCUACGGGAGGCAGCAGUAGGGAAUCUUCCGCAAUGGGCGAAAGCCUGACGGAGCAACGCCGCGUGAGUGAUGAAGGUCUUCGGAUCGUAAAACUCUGUUAUUAGGGAAGAACAAAUGUGUAAGUAACUAUGCACGUCUUGACGGUACCUAAUCAGAAAGCCACGGCUAACUACGUG